rnacentral:rRNA from 1 species
UGAGCAAUCUGCCCUUCUCUUCGGAAUAAGCGUUGGAAACGACGUCUAAUGCCGAAUACGACCUCCUUUCGCAUGAUCGGAGGUGGAAAGCUCCGGCGGAGAAGGAUGAGCUCGCGGCCUAUCAGCUAGUUGGUGUGGGUAAUGGCCCACCAAGGCGACGACGGGUAGCCGGCCUGAGAGGGUGACCGGCCACACGUGGGACUGAGACACGGCCCAGACUCCGUACGGGAGGNAGCG